GAUGAACGCUGGCGGCGUGCCUAACACAUGCAAGUCGAACGGAGUCCAGCCUUUAAGACCUUCGGGUCAAAGAGGGGAAGCCUGAGUGGCGGACGGGUGAGUAACACGUGGGCAACCUGGCUCAUAGAGGGGGAUAACAGAGAGAAAUUUCUGCUAAUACCGCAUAAGCACACACUGCCGCAUGGCAGAGGGUGAAAAGAGAAUCGCUAUGAGAUGGACCCGCGUCUGAUUAGCCAGUUGGCAGGGUAAGAGCCUACCAAAGCGACGAUCCGUAGCCGAUCUGAGAGGAUGAACGGCCACAGUGGGACUGAGACACGGCCCAAACUCCUACGGGAGGCAGCAGUGGGGGAUAUUGCACAAUGGGGGGAACCCUGAUGCAGCGACGCCGCGUGAGUGAAGAAGUAUUUCGGUAUGUAAAGCUCUAUCAGCAGGGAAGAUAAUGACAGUACCUGAAGAAGAAGCCCCGGCUAACUACGUG
rnacentral:rRNA from 1 species